rnacentral:rRNA from 1 species
UACGUAGGGAGCAAGCGUUGUCCGGAAUCAUUGAGCGUAAAGCGCGCGUAGGCGGCCCGGUAAGUCCGCUGUAAAAGUCCAGGGCUCAACCCUGGAAAGCCGGUGGAUACUGUCGGGCUAGAGUCCGGAAGAGGCGAGUGGAAUUCCGGUGGAGCGGUGAAAUGCAUUGAGAUCGGAAAGAACACCAACGGCGAAAGCACUCUGCUGGGCCGACACUGACACUGAGAGACGAAAGCUAGGGGCGCAAAUGGG